rnacentral:pre_miRNA from 1 species
AUAAUGCUGUAUAGUUACUUUGUUUUAUUUUGGGUUUUCCAGGGCGAAAUUCAUUUGACUUUUAUUAACGUAAGUUAUUAACAAUCAUUGCUUUUCACUUGAUGUGACUCACUAACUAUAGGUUUAUGCACAGCUU